GACGAACGCUGGCGGCGUGCUUAACACAUGCAAGUCGAACGGAAAGGCCCUGCUUUUGUGGGGGGCUCGAGUGGCGAACGGGUGAGUAACACGUGAGUAACCUGCCCUUGACUUUGGGAUAACUUCAGGAAACUGGGGCUAAUACCGGAUAGGAGCUCCUGCUGCAUGGUGGGGGUUGGAAAGUUUCGGCGGUUGGGGAUGGACUCGCGGCUUAUCAGCUUGUUGGUGGGGUAGUGGCUUACCAAGGCUUUGACGGGUAGCCGGCCUGAGAGGGUGACCGGCCACAUUGGGACUGAGAUACGGCCCAGACUCCUACGGGAGGCAGCAGUGGGGAAUAUUGCACAAUGGGCGGAAGCCUGAUGCAGCAACGCCGCGUGCGGGAUGACGGCCUUCGGGUUGUAAACCGCUUUCGCCUGUGACGAAGCGUGAGUGACGGUAAUGGGUAAAGAAGCACCGGCUAACUACGUG
rnacentral:rRNA from 1 species